GUACGCGGCAUCGACUCUGUCGUUGCCGAUGCUACUGGAAAGAUGACCAAACUUGAUCAUUUAGAGGAAGUAAAAGUCGUAACAAAGUUUCCGUAGGUGAACCUGCGGAAGGAUCAUUA
rnacentral:rRNA from 1 species